UACGCCCUACGGGAGGCAGCAGUGGGGAAUAUUGGGCAAUGGGCGCAAGCCUGACCCAGCAACGCCGCGUGAAGGAAGAAGGCUUUCGGGUUGUAAACUUCUUUUCUCAGGGACGAAGCAAGUGACGGUACCUGAGGAAUAAGCCACGGCUAACUACGUGCCAGCAGCCGCGGUAAUACGUAGGUGGCAAGCGUUAUCCGGAUUUACUGGGUGUAAAGGGCGUGUAGGCGGGGACGCAAGUCAGAUGUGAAAACCAUGGGCUCAACCUGUGGCCUGCAUUUGAAACUGGGUUUCUUGAGUACUGG
rnacentral:rRNA from 1 species